GACGAACGCUGGCGGCGUGCCUAAUACAUGCAAGUCGAACGCUUCUUUUUCCACCGGAGCUUGCUCCACCGGAAAAAGAGGAGUGGCGAACGGGUGAGUAACACGUGGGUAACCUGCCCAUCAGAAGGGGAUAACACUUGGAAACAGGUGCUAAUACCGUAUAACAAUCGAAACCGCAUGGUUUUGAUUUGAAAGGCGCUUUCGGGUGUCGCUGAUGGAUGGACCCGCGGUGCAUUAGCUAGUUGGUGAGGUAACGGCUCACCAAGGCGACGAUGCAUAGCCGACCUGAGAGGGUGAUCGGCCACAUUGGGACUGAGACACGGCCCAAACUCCUACGGGAGGCAGCAGCAGGGAAUCUUCGGCAAUGGACGAAAGUCUGACCGAGCAACGCCGCGUGAGUGAAGAAGGUUUUCGGAUCGUAAAACUCUGUUGUUAGAGAAGAACAAGGAUGAGAGUAACUGUUCAUCCCUUGACGGUAUCUAACCAGAAAGCCACGGCUAACUACGUGCCAGCAGCCGCGGUAAUACGUAGGUGGCAAGCGUUGUCCGGAUUUAUUGGGCGUAAAGCGAGCGCAGGCGGUUUCUUAAGUCUGAUGUGAAAGCCCCCGGCUCAACCGGGGAGGGUCAUUGGAAACUGGGAGACUUGAGUGCAGAAGAGGAGAGUGGAAUUCCAUGUGUAGCGGUGAAAUGCGUAGAUAUAUGGAGGAACACCAGUGGCGAAGGCGGCUCUCUGGUCUGUAACUGACGCUGAGGCUCGAAAGCGUGGGGAGCAAACAGGAUUAGAUACCCUGGUAGUCCACGCCGUAAACGAUGAGUGCUAAGUGUUGGAGGGUUUCCGCCCUUCAGUGCUGCAGCUAACGCAUUAAGCACUCCGCCUGGGGAGUACGACCGCAAGGUUGAAACUCAAAGGAACUGACGGGGGCCCGCACAAGCGGUGGAGCAUGUGGUUUAAUUCGAAGCAACGCGAAGAACCUUACCAGGUCUUGACAUCCUUUGACCACUCUAGAGAUAGAGCUUCCCCUUCGGGGGCAAAGUGACAGGUGGUGCAUGGUUGUCGUCAGCUCGUGUCGUGAGAUGUUGGGUUAAGUCCCGCAACGAGCGCAACCCUUAUUGUUAGUUGCCAUCAUUUAGUUGGGCACUCUAGCAAGACUGCCGGUGACAAACCGGAGGAAGGUGGGGAUGACGUCAAAUCAUCAUGCCCCUUAUGACCUGGGCUACACACGUGCUACAAUGGGAAGUACAACGAGUCGCAAAGUCGCGAGGCUAAGCUAAUCUCUUAAAGCUUCUCUCAGUUCGGAUUGUAGGCUGCAACUCGCCUACAUGAAGCCGGAAUCGCUAGUAAUCGCGGAUCAGCACGCCGCGGUGAAUACGUUCCCGGGCCUUGUACACACCGCCCGACACACCACGAGAGUUUGUAACACCCGAAGUCGGUGAGGUAACCUUUUGGAGCCAGCCGCCUAAGGUGGGAUAGAUGAUUGGGGUG
rnacentral:rRNA from 1 species